rnacentral:rRNA from 1 species
GGGUUGUGAGGUUAAGUGACUAAGCGUACACGGUGGAUGCCUAGGCAGUCAGAGGCGAUGAAGGGCGUGCUAAUCUGCGAAAAGCGUCGGUAAGGUGAUAUGAACCGUUAUAACCGGCGAUACCCGAAUGGGGAAACCCAGUGUGUUUCGACACACUAUCAUGUCAUGAAUACAUAGUGGCAUGAGGCGAACCGGGGGAACUGAAACAUCUAAGUACCCCGAGGAAAAGAAAUCAACCGAGAUUCCCCCAGUAGCGGCGAGCGAACGGGGAGGAGCCCAGAACCUGAAUCGGCUUGUGUGUUAGUGGAAGCGUCUGGAAAGUCGCGCAGCAAAGGGUGAUAGCCCCGUACACUAAAAUGCACAGGUCGUGAGUUCGAUGAGUAGGGCGGGACACGUGACAUCCUGUCUGAAUAUGGGGGGACCAUCCUCCAAGGCUAAAUACUCCUGACUGACCGAUAGUGAACCAGUACCGUGAGGGAAAGGCGAAAAGAACCCCGGCGAGGGGAGUGAAAUAGAACCUGAAACCGUGUACGUACAAGCAGUGGGAGCACCUUCGUGGUGUGACUGCGUACCUUUUGUAUAAUGGGUCAGCGACUUAUAUUUUGUAGCAAGGUUAACCGUAUAGGGGAGCCGUAGGGAAACCGAGUCUUAACUGGGCGAAUAGUUGCAAGGUAUAGACCCGAAACCCGGUGAUCUAGCCAUGGGCAGGUUGAAGGUUGGGUAACACUAACUGGAGGACCGAACCGACUAAUGUUGAAAAAUUAGCGGAUGACUUGUGGCUGGGGGUGAAAGGCCAAUCAAACCGGGAGAUAGCUGGUUCUCCCCGAAAGCUAUUUAGGUAGCGCCUCGUGAACUCAUCUUCGGGGGUAGAGCACUGUUUCGGCUAGGGGGCCAUCCCGGCUUACCAAACCGAUGCAAACUCCGAAUACCGAAGAAUGUUAUCACGGGAGACACACGGCGGGUGCUAACGUCCGUCGUGAAGAGGGAAACAACCCAGACCGCCAGCUAAGGUCCCAAAGUCAUGGUUAAGUGGGAAACGAUGUGGGAAGGCAUAGACAGCCAGGAUGUUGGCUUAGAAGCAGCCAUCAUUUAAAGAAAGCGUAAUAGCUCACUGGUCGAGUCGGCCUGCGCGGAAGAUGUAACGGGGCUAAACCAUGCACCGAAGCUGCGGCAGCGACGCUUAGGCGUUGUUGGGUAGGGGAGCGUUCUGUAAGCCGUUGAAGGUGGCCUGUGAGGGUUGCUGGAGGUAUCAGAAGUGCGAAUGCUGACAUAAGUAACGAUAAAGCGGGUGAAAAGCCCGCUCGCCGGAAGACCAAGGGUUCCUGUCCAACGUUAAUCGGGGCAGGGUGAGUCGACCCCUAAGGCGAGGCUGAAAAGCGUAGUCGAUGGGAAACAGGUUAAUAUUCCUGUACUUGGUGUUACUGCGAAGGGGGGACGGAGAAGGCUAGGCUAGCCGGGCGACGGUUGUCCCGGUUUAAGCGUGUAGGGGGUGUGACCUGGUAAAUCCGGUUGCAUAUCAACCCUGAGGCGUGAUGACGAUGCACUACGGUGCAGAAGUAGUUGAUGCCCUGCUUCCAGGAAAAUCCUCUAAGCAUCAGGUAACAUUAAAUCGUACCCCAAACCGACACAGGUGGUCAGGUAGAGAAUACCAAGGCGCUUGAGAGAACUCGGGUGAAGGAACUAGGCAAAAUGGUGCCGUAACUUCGGGAGAAGGCACGCUGGCAUGUAGGUGAAGUCCCUUGCGGAUGGAGCUGAAGCCAGUCGAAGAUACCAGCUGGCUGCAACUGUUUAAUAAAAACACAGCACUGUGCAAACACGAAAGUGGACGUAUACGGUGUGACGCCUGCCCGGUGCUGGAAGGUUAAUUGAUGGGGUCAGCCGCAAGGCGAAGCUCUUGAUCGAAGCCCCAGUAAACGGCGGCCGUAACUAUAACGGUCCUAAGGUAGCGAAAUUCCUUGUCGGGUAAGUUCCGACCUGCACGAAUGGCGUAAUGAUGGCCAGGCUGUCUCCACCCGAGACUCAGUGAAAUUGAACUCGCUGUGAAGAUGCAGUGUACCCGCGGCAAGACGGAAAGACCCCGUGAACCUUUACUAUAGCUUGACACUGAACAUUGAGCCUUGAUGUGUAGGAUAGGUGGGAGGCUUUGAAGCGUGGACGCCAGUCUGCGUGGAGCCAUCCUUGAAAUACCACCCUUUAAUGUUUGAUGUUCUAACUCGGCCCCGUAAUCCGGGGUGAGGACAGUGUCUGGUGGGUAGUUUGACUGGGGCGGUCUCCUCCCAAAGAGUAACGGAGGAGCACGAAGGUUAGCUAAUCACGGUCGGACAUCGUGAGGUUAGUGCAAAGGCAUAAGCUAGCUUGACUGCGAGAGUGACGGCUCGAGCAGGUACGAAAGUAGGUCUUAGUGAUCCGGUGGUUCUGAAUGGAAGGGCCAUCGCUCAACGGAUAAAAGGUACUCCGGGGAUAACAGGCUGAUACCGCCCAAGAGUUCAUAUCGACGGCGGUGUUUGGCACCUCGAUGUCGGCUCAUCACAUCCUGGGGCUGAAGUAGGUCCCAAGGGUAUGGCUGUUCGCCAUUUAAAGUGGUACGCGAGCUGGGUUUAGAACGUCGUGAGACAGUUCGGUCCCUAUCUGCCGUGGGCGUUGGAAGAUUGAGAGGGGUUGCUCCUAGUACGAGAGGACCGGAGUGAACGCACCACUGGUGUUCGGGUUGUCAUGCCAAUGGCAUUGCCCGGUAGCUAAGUGCGGAAAAGAUAAGCGCUGAAAGCAUCUAAGCGCGAAACUUGCCUCAAGAUGAGUCUUCCCUGGGCCUUUAAGGCCCCUGAAGGAACGUUUAAGACUAAGACGUUGAUAGGCUGGGUGUGUAAGUGCAGCGAUGCAUUGAGCUAACCAGUACUAAUGAUCCGUGAGGCUUAACCUUACAACACCGAAGGUGUUU